rnacentral:rRNA from 1 species
UACGUAGGGGGCGAGCGUUGUCCGAAUUUACUGGGCGUAAAGCGCGCGUAGGCGGUUUCUUAAGUCUGGGGUGAAAGGUUCAACGCUCAACGUGAACAGUGCCUUGGAUACUGGGAGACUUGAGUCUGGGAGGGGGUAGUGGAAUUCCUGGUGUAGCGGUGAAAUGCGUAGAUAUCAGGAGGAACACCGGUGGCGAAGGCGGCUACCUGGCCUAAGACUGACGCUGAGGUGCGAAAGCGUGGGGAUCAAACAGG